rnacentral:rRNA from 1 species
UACAGAGGGGGCAAGCGUUAUUCGGAAUUAUUGGGCGUAAAGGGCGCGUAGGCGGCUUGGCAAGUGGAUGGUGAAAUCCCUCGGCUUAACCGAGGAACUGCCGUCCAAACUGCUUCGCUUGAGACCGGGAGAGGUGAGUGGAAUUCCCAGUGUAGCGGUGAAAUGCGUAGAUAUUGGGAGGAACACCAGUGGCGAAGGCGGCUCACUGGACCGGUACUGACGCUGAGGAGCGAAAGCUAGGGGAGCAAACGGG